rnacentral:rRNA from 1 species
CCUAGGGGAGGCUGCAGUGGGGAAUAUUGGACAAUGGGCGAAAGCCUGAUCCAGCCAUGCCGCGUGUGUGAAGAAGGCCUUCGGGUUGUAAAGCACUUUCAGUGGGGAAGAAAGCCUUGGGGCUAAUACCCUCGAGGAAGGACAUCACCCACAGAAGAAGCACCGGCUAACUCCGUGCCAGCAGCCGCGGUAAUACGGAGGGUGCGAGCGUUAAUCGGAAUUACUGGGCGUAAAGCGCGCGUAGGCGGUCUGAUAAGCCGGUUGUGAAAGCCCCGGGCUCAACCUGGGAACGGCAUCCGGAACUGUCAGGCUAGAGUGCAGGAGAGGAAGGUAGAAUUCCCGGUGUAGCGGUGAAAUGCGUAGAGAUCGGGAGGAAUACCAGUGGCGAAGGCGGCCUUCUGGACUGACACUGACGCUGAGGUGCGAAAGCGUGGGUAGCAAACAGGAUUAGAUACCCUGGUAGUC